UCAUAGCGAGGAUGCUAACAGGACAGGCGGACUCAGGAUGAGGGUCAGGAGCGCCAGGAGGCGAAGACACAGGAUUGUCAGGAAGACAAACGUCCGGAGACGUAUGUAAAAGGAAAUGGAAACAACACGGAACGUUUCAGGCUAAAGGAAAGACAGGGUGUGUUGAUGGCCGACAGGGAAUGUAGAACCCGUUAAGGGCUAUGAGUAAAGAAAAAAGGCGACAGAUGACUCUGUCGCCUUUUUUCUUUACUUGCUU
rnacentral:sRNA from 1 species